GACGAAAGAGGGAGGAGGGAGGAAUAAAGGAAAGUAGAACGGAAAGGUGCUGCUUUUGUGGGGUGUUUGAGUGGCGAACGGGUGAGUAACAUGUGAGUAAAAUGCAAUUGACUUUGGGAUAACUUCAGGAAACUGGGGCUAAUACCGGAUAGGAGCUCCUGCUGCAUGGUGGGGGUUGGAAAGUUUCGGCGGUUGGGGAUGGACUCGCGGCUUAUCAGCUUGUUGGUGGGGUAGUGGCUUACCAAGGCUUUGACGGGUAGCCGGCCUGAGAGGGUGACCGGCCACAUUGGGACUGAGAGACGGCCCAGACUCCUACGGGAGGCAGCAGUGGGGAAUAUUGCACAAUGGGCGGAAGCCUGAUGCAGCAACGCCGCGUGCGGGAUGACGGCCUUCGGGUUGUAAACCGCUUUCGCCUGUGACGAAGCGUGAGUGACGGUAAUGGGUAAAGAAGCACCGGCUAACUACGUC
rnacentral:rRNA from 1 species